rnacentral:rRNA from 1 species
GCACAAGCGGUGGAGCAUGUGGUUUAAUUCGACGCAACGCGAAGAACCUUACCUGGGCUUGAACUACUGGUAGUAAGCUUUUGGAAACAUUAGCUGAUCCGCAAGGAAGCCAGCAGAGGUGCUGCAUGGUUGUCGUCAGCUCGUGUCGUGAGAUGUUGGGUUAAGUCCCGCAACGAGCGCAACCCCUAUUCGAUGUUGCUAAUCCCGCAAGGGAUGCACUCUUCGAAAACUGCCUUCGAUAAGAAGGAGGAAGGUGGGGACGACGUCAAAUCAUCAUGGCCCUUAUGUCCAGGGCUACACACGUGCUACAAUGGCCGGUACAACGGGAAGCAAUACCGCAAGGUGGAGCCAAACCCUUAAAGCCGGCCCCAGUUCAGAUCGUGGGCUGCAACUCGCCCACGUGAAGGCGGAAUCGCUAGUAAUCGCAGAUCAGCAGGCUGCGGUGAAUACGUUCCCGGGC